CCAGAGGACAAAGAGAUCUUUCCCAGGUGUGCAGGAUGCACAGGUGCGGCCAGGUUGAGAAGUGCUGGGAAAGAUGACCCUGAGUUCCUUGCAGUCCUGCACUUUCCUGACCUUCCUGAUCCUGCAAAUUCACCUGUGUCCUCACUGAACUGGGGUCCUCCGUUCUUUUAACAAAGGAGAAAGAAACGGCAACGCAAUUUAAAAACUGGCAGGCCGUUUAAAAAGAGCCCGUUUGACCUCUGCCAAACCCAGCCAAGAUAA